rnacentral:rRNA from 1 species
UACGUAGGGGGCGAGCGUUGUCCGGAAUCAUUGGGCGUAAAGCGCGUGUAGGCGGCUCGAUAAGUCCGGUGUGAAACCUUGGGGCUCAACCCCAAGCCUGCACUGGAUACUGCCGAGCUAGAGUCCGGGAGGGGAGAGCGGAAUUCCUAGUGUAGCGGUGAAAUGCGCAGAUAUUAGGAAGAACACCGGUGGCGAAGGCGGCUCUCUGGAACGGUACUGACGCUGAGACGCGAAAGCGUGGGGAGCGAACGAGGA